AGGNAGCCGUAAAUGCAGUCGAGCGGUAACAGAAAGUAGCUUGCUACUUUGCUGACGAGCGGCGGACGGGUGAGUAAUGCUUGGGAACAUGCCUUGAGGUGGGGGACAACAGUUGGAAACGACUGCUAAUACCGCAUAAUGUCUACGGACCAAAGGGGGCUUCGGCUCUCGCCUUUAGAUUGGCCCAAGUGGGAUUAGCUAGUUGGUGAGGUAAUGGCUCACCAAGGCGACGAUCCCUAGCUGGUUUGAGAGGAUGAUCANCCACACUGGNACUGAGACACGGCCCAGACUCCUACU
rnacentral:rRNA from 1 species